rnacentral:rRNA from 1 species
GCAAGUCGAACGGUAACAUUUCUAGCUUGCUAGAAGAUGACGAGUGGCGGACGGGUGAGUAAUGCUUGGGAACUUGCCUUUGCGAGGGGGAUAACAGUUGGAAACGACUGCUAAUACCGCAUAAUGUCUACGGACCAAACGGGGCUUAGGCUCCGGCGCAAAGAGAGGCCCAAGUGAGAUUAGCUAGUUGGUAAGGUAAAGGCUUACCAAGGCGACGAUCUCUAGCUGUUCUGAGAGGAAGAUCAGCCACACUGGGACUGAGACACGGCCCAGACUCCUACGGGAGGCAGCAGUGGGGAAUAUUGCACAAUGGGGGAAACCCUGAUGCAGCCAUGCCGCGUGUGUGAAGAAGGCCUUCGGGUUGUAAAGCACUUCCAGUUGUGAGGAAAAGUUAGUAGUUAAUACCUGCUAGCCGUGACGUUGACAACAGAAGAAGCACCGGCUAACUCCGUGCCAGCAGCCGCGGUAAUACGGAGGGUGCGAGCGUUAAUCGGAAUUACUGGGCGUAAAGCGCACGCAGGCGGUUUGUUUAGCUAAAUGUGAAAGCCCCGGGCUCAACCUGGGAUGGUCAUUUAGAACUGGCAGACU